AUUAAUUUGGGCGUAAAGGGUACGUAGGCGGUUUGAUUGAUAUGUGAUUUAAAGAGAACGGGUUCAACCUUUCGAAAACACAUCUGAUUAUAAAACUAGAGUUUAGUGGAGGAUUGUUGAACUGCUAGUUUAAAGUUAAAAUUUUGUUAGAUUAGUCGGGCAACCUGCGGUGUAAACUACUUUCCAUAGUAAAACUGACGUUCAUGUACAAAAGUAUGGGGAUUAAAUAGGAUUAGAGACCCUAGUAGUCCAUACCCUGACCUAUGAGUGUUAAAUGGGAGAUAAAAUUAUUAACAUCUUCGUGUUUCUAGCUAACGCGGAAACAACUCCGCCUGGGGACGUACGGUCGCAAGAUUAAAACUCAAAGGAAUUGACGGAGAUCAGUACGUGCGGUGGAACAUGUGAUUUAAUGCGUCAAUACGCGCAAACCUUACCCUAUCUUGUUCCUUUCCUACCAAACCGAUUUAUAUAUGUUGAUUAUAAACCAAAUUUAU
rnacentral:rRNA from 1 species